rnacentral:rRNA from 1 species
AGUAACACGUAAACAACCUGCCUUCAGGAUGGGGACAACAGACGGAAACGACUGCUAAUACCGAAUAAGUUCCAAGAGCCGCAUGGCCCAUGGAAGAAAAGGUGGCCUCUACCUGUAAGCUAUCGCCUGAAGAGGGGUUUGCGUCUGAUUAGCUGGUUGGAGGGGUAACGGCCCACCAAGGCGACGACCAGUAGCCGGUCUGAGAGGAUGAACGGCCACACUGGAACUGAGACACGGUCCAGACUCCUACGGGAGGCAGCAUG